CCCGAGCUUUAAUUAUGUACAAGUGGAGUGAACUAAACUUUGAGGACCAAAAGAAAAGGAAAGAAUCAUAAGUGAAAAAAAAAAAAAAAAAACCUAAUCGGUAAGCAAAAUCAGAUCUUGCUCGACCCUAUGGGACUACUGUCCAACCAAAUCUCCAGAGAUGAUCUGAAAGCAGGAGAUCACAUCUACUCUUGGCGUAACGCUUAUAUCUACUCUCAUCACGAUCCGAUGCUACUAAGGUUCCUGUGGAAAGACUCGUUUCCAUCAUUGAAGUCAUGGAAGGCAGAUCUAUUGAAGUCAUGGAAGGCAGAUCUACCGAAGUAAUGGAAGGCAGAUCUAUUGAAGUCAUGGAAGGCAGCUUGGAGGACAACAAGAAGUCUAGUUAGUUGUCAUUAUGAACGUUUGAUGACUAAUAAUAGCUGAGUAAGAGGGAGGAUCGUGCUUUCUCUGCUUUGUUUGUAUUGUGAAAACUGUAUUUUAACUAUUAGUCAAGUGGAAAAAUACAGUUUAAUAACAUGAUUUUUCCAAGAACUGUACUUUUGUAGACUCGGAUAAAAUGGAAUUCCAACCAAAAUUAUCUCGGUA